AGUGAACGCUGGCGGUAGGCUUAACACAUGCAAGUCGAACGGCAGCACAGUAAGAGCUUGCUCUUACGGGUGGCGAGUGGGGGACGGGAGAGGAAAACAACCGAACCUACACUUUCGUGGGAGUUAACGUAGCGAAACUUACGCUCAUACCGCAUACCACCUACGGGUGAAAGCAGUGGAACUUCGGACCUUGCGGGAAUGAAUGAGCCGAUGUUGGAUUAGCUAGUUGGCGGGGUAAAGGCCAACCAAGUCGACGAUCCGUAGCUGGACUGAGAGGAUGGUCGGCCACACUGGAACUGAGACACGGUCCAGACUCCUACGGGAGGCAGCAGUGGGGAAUAUUGGACAAUGGGCGCAAGCCUGAUCCAGCCAUACCGCGUGGGUGAAGAAGGCCUUCGGGUUGUAAAGCCCUUUUGUUGGGAAAGAAAAGCAGUAGGUUAAUACCCCGCUGUUCUGACGGUACCCAAUGAAUAAGCACCGGCUAACUUCGUG
rnacentral:rRNA from 1 species